AGAACGGGCCAGAAAUGGUCAACUCUUUGGACACUCGUAAACAGGUGGUGCAUGGUUGUCGUCAGCUCGUGUCGUGAGAUGUUGGGUUAAGUCCCGCAACGAGCGCAACCCUCGUUCUAUGUUGCCAGCACGUNUGGUGGGAACUCAUGGGAUACUGCCGGGGUCAACUCGGAGGAAGGUGGGGAUGACGUCAAAUCAUCAUGCCCCUUAUGUCUUGGGCUUCACGCAUGCUACAAUGGCCGGUACAAAGGGCUGCAAUACCGCGAGGUGGAGCGAAUCCCAAAAAGCCGGUCCCAGUUCGGAUUGAGGUCUGCAACUCGACCUCAUGAAGUCGGAGUCGCUAGUAAUCGCAGAUCAGCAACGCUGCGGUGAAUACGUUCCCGGGUCUUGUACACACCGCCCGUCAAGUCAUGAAAGUCGGUAACACCUGAAGCCGGUGGCCUAACCCUUGUGGAGGGAGCCGUCGAAGGUGGGAUCGGUAAUUAGGACUAAGUCGUAACAAGGUAGCCGUACCGGAAGGUGCGGCUGGAUCACCUCCUUUCUAAGGA
rnacentral:rRNA from 1 species